AGAGUUUGAUCCUGGCUCAGAUCACGCUGGCGGCGUACAGAGGCGGUCGAACGCGAAAGGCCCCUUCGGGGGCCGAGUAAAAGAAAGGAGUCCGGGUGAGUAACACGUGAGUAAUUUGCCUUCGGGUGGGGAAUAACAACCGGAAACGGUUGCUAAUACCGCAUAAUGCAGCGGCACCACAUGGUGACAGUUGUUAAAGCGGGGGAUUCGCAAGAACCUCGUGCCUGAAGAGAAGCUCGCGGCGGAUUAGCUAGUUGGUCGGGUAACGGCCUACCAAGGCGACGAUCCGUAGCCGGCCUGAGAGGGCGGUCGGCCACACUGACACUGACACACGGGUCAGACUCCUACGGGAGGCAGCAGUCGGGAAUUUUGGGCAAUGGGCGAAAGCCUGACCCAGCAACGCCGCGUGAAGGAUGAAGUUUUUCGCAAUGUAAACUUCACAAGAAUGGGAAGAAUAAGUGGGGGAUAAUACCCCCCAUGAUGACGGUACCAUUUGUAAGCUCCGGCUAACUCCGUGCCAGCAGCCGCGGUAAUACGGGGGGAGCAAGCGUUGUUCGGAUUUACUGGGCGUAAAGGGCGCGUAGGCGGCGCAACAAGUCACUUGUGAAAUCUCCGGGCUUAACUCGGAGCGGCCAAGUGAUACUGUCGUGCUAGAGUGCGGAAGGGGCAACUGGAAUUCUC
rnacentral:rRNA from 1 species